rnacentral:rRNA from 1 species
GAUGAACGCUGGCGGCGUGCCUAAUACAUGCAAGUCGAGCGAACAGACGAGGAGCUUGCUCCUCUGACGUUAGCGGCGGACGGGUGAGUAACACGUGGAUAACCUACCUAUAAGACUGGGAUAACUUCGGGAAACCGGAGCUAAUACCGGAUAAUAUAUUGAACCGCAUGGUUCAAUAGUGAAAGACGGUUUUGCUGUCACUUAUAGAUGGAUCCGCGCCGCAUUAGCUAGUUGGUAAGGUAACGGCUUACCAAGGCAACGAUGCGUAGCCGACCUGAGAGGGUGGUCGGCCGCACUGGAACGGAGACACGGUCCAGACUCCUACGGGAGGCAGCAGUAGGGAAUCUUCCGCAAUGGGCGAAAGCCUGACGGAGCAACGCCGCGUGAGUGAUGAAGGUCUUCGGAUCGUAAAACUCUGUUAUUAGGGAAGAACAAAUGUGUAAGUAACUAUGCACGUCUUGACGGUACCUAAUCAGAAAGCCACGGCUAACUACGUG